AGAAUCAACGCUGGCGGCGUGCCUAACACAUGCAAGUCGAACGAGAAAGUGGAGCAAUCCAUGAGUAAAGUGGCGCACGGGUGAGUAACACGUGACUAACCUACCCUCGAGUGGGGAAUAACUUCGGGAAACCGAGGCUAACACCGCAUAACAUCUACGGAUCAAAUGCGUAAGCAGCUUGAGGAGGGGGUCGCGGCUGAUUAGCUAGUUGGCGGGGUAAUGGCCCACCAAGGCAAUGAUCAGUA
rnacentral:rRNA from 1 species